rnacentral:rRNA from 1 species
UGGGGAAUAUUGGACAAUGGGCGAAAGCCUGAUCCAGCCAUGCCGCGUGAGUGAUGAAGGCCCUAGGGUUGUAAAGCUCUUUCAACGGUGAAGAUAAUGACGGUAACCGUAGAAGAAGCCCCGGCUAACUUCGUGCCAGCAGCCGCGGUAAUACGAAGGGGGCUAGCGUUGUUCGGAAUUACUGGGCGUAAAGCGCGCGUAGGCGGAUUGAUCAGUCAGGGGUGAAAUCCCGGGGCUCAACCCCGGAACUGCCUUUGAUACUGUCAAUCUAGAGAUCGAGAGAGGUGAGUGGGAUUCCGAGUGUAGAGGUGAAAUUCGUAGAUAUUAGGAAGAACACCGGUGGCGAAGGCGGCCCACUGGUCCGGUACUGACGCUGAGGUGCGAAAGCGUGGGGAGCAAACAGGAUUAGAUACCCCCGUAGUCC